rnacentral:rRNA from 1 species
AUUGAACGCUGGCGGUAGGCCUAACACAUGCAAGUCGAACGAGUGGCGGACGGGUGAGUAAUGUCUGAGAAACUGCCUGAUGGAGGGGGAUAACUACUGGAAACGGUAGCUAAUACCGCAUACCAUCGGAUGUGCCCAGAUGGGAUUAGCUAGUAGGUGGGGUAAAGGCUCACCUAGGCGACGAUCCCUAGCUGGUCGGAGAGGAUGACCAGCCACACGGGAACUGAGACACGGGCCAGAAUCCUACGGGAGGCAGCAGUGGGGAAUAUUGCAAAAUGGGCGCAAGCCUGAUGAAGCCAUGCCGCGGGUAUGAAGAAGGCCUUCGGGUUGUAAAGUACUUUCAGCGGGGAGGCGUUACCCGCAGAAGAAGCACCGGCUAACUCCGUGCCAGGAGCCGCGGUAAUUC